AUUGAACGCUGGCGGUAUGCUUAACACAUGCAAGUCGAACGGUAACAGGCCUUCGGGCGCUGACGAGUGGCGGACGGGUGAGUAACGCGUAGGAAUCUGCCUCAUAGUGGGGGACAACGUGGGGAAACUCACGCUAAUACCGCAUACGCCCUACGGGGGAAAGCGGGGGAUCUUCGGACCUCGCGCUAUGAGAUGAGCCUGCGUUAGAUUAGCUAGUUGGUAGGGUAAAGGCCUACCAAGGCGACGAUCUAUAGCUGGUCUGAGAGGACGAUCAGCCACACUGGAACUGAGACACGGCCCAGACUCCUACGGGAGGCAGCAGUGGGGAUUAUUGGACAAUGGGCGCAAGCCUGAUCCAGCAAUACCGCGUGUGUGAAGAAGGCCCUAGGGUUGUAAAGCACUUUCAAUGGGGAGGAAAACCUGCCGGUCAAUACCCGGCAGCUUGACAUUACCCAUACAAGAAGCACCGGCUAACUCCGUGCCAGCAGCCGCAGUAACAC
rnacentral:rRNA from 1 species